rnacentral:lncRNA from 1 species
GCCUUCCAAGUCUAGAAUGCUUUAGUGUUCUAAAGGAUCACCUUCCUCCUUCGCAUUCCACAUCCUAUCAACUGUAAAGCAGGUUUACGAUUUUUAAUGUCCUCGGGAGUGGGCCGAUCCAUCAGCCGAAGAAAUAUUUAGAAGAUAGGAACAUCAGCAGUCCUGCCGUCUACUUUCUCCAGCCAGACUCUAAGUUUCUAGUUCUGGAAGUCUCCUUUCCCGAUCCUUUUGGAGAUGUGCUGAAAAAUACGGCGAGCACUGCUGCUGAAUGCCAUCCAACAGAGCUGCAGGCUCAGAAAAACCGCGCUGUGUCCUCACCACCUUACUCACCAGAUUUGGCACCGUGCAACUUCUGGCUCCUCCCCAAGCUCAAAAUGACCACGACUCAGGACUCUGAGGCAGCUGGACGGGCACAGCUA